rnacentral:RNase_P_RNA from 1 species
GGGUCGCGAGACGACUCACGGCCUCAUGCCGAGGAAAGUCUGCCCACACGACGCGGUCAUAAGAGCUUCAAACGCUUGCAUGACCACUGGACAAAGGCGCCGGCCGUCGUGGCCGGGACGAGAAAUCGUCGGCAACCGCCCCGAAACGAGACCCCCAUGGAAAUGGGAUGAUGCACGCGAAGGUCAAGGCAACUUGACUGAGACCAACCUGCUGACGUCUUCCAUGGAAAGGAUGAAACGGCGAGUCCCACCUUGUGCAAGCCAAAAGGCGCUGAGUUGAAUGUCGUCAACGCUCACCGGCAUCACAGGAUGAUGCUUCGGAGCGUACAAAAGGCAGCUUACCGCGACCC